AUAAAUAUAGUUUAAUAAAAACAUUAUAUUUUCAUUAUAAAAAUAAUAUUCAAAACUAUUUAUUUAUU
rnacentral:tRNA from 1 species